AUGUCUACCUUCGUGGCGCGCCGCCACCUGCCCCACCGCCGGCUGCCGGACUACCCUAGCCCCUUAGCAUUAUUUUAUUCCCCCGCCCGCCAACACCCCGUGAGUACCCGCUGACAUUCCCUGACGGCCCGCCGUGUCACCUGCCUGUGCGCGCCACCUGCCUGCCCCGCCCUUCCUCCCGACUAACCAUCCCUGCAUCUGGGUGCCCCCUCUGCGUGCGGGGCAUCCAGGCUGGCAGUGCCUGUGGGGAGCCGUACGCGGCCCGCACACUGCCCAGCACCCCGUCAUCUCUCCCCUAACUGGUCCCCAUGCCUCCCACAUCUACCUCUUAACCCUUGCCUCCCGCCCUCUCUGCCUCUUUCGCCGCCUGGGCUUGUGUGUAGUCUUGUCUUUGUUAUCCCUUCUUUAUCCUACUGCCGACACGCCUCGGCCCUUUCACUGUGCCCUGCCCUUCCGAUUUUUGCCUUGCCCCUUUCCCACAUGUCGUGCUCCUGGCCCGACGCUCCCUGCCUGGCGUCGGGGCUGCUUUCCUGGUCGCCAGGUAAGUCGUGGGUUUUGCUUGUCGCGUCCGCGUGCCUGUCUUGUGCUGUUGUGCGCGUCACCGAGCCCGGGCGGCGACAUUUAUCGCCGGCGCCGCUCGUCCUGCUGCUCCACGACGCCUCGACCCACAUCCCAUAAGUAUUAUCGCUCGCAACUAACGCCUCUGCCUGCACUCUCGUUUUCGUUGGUUUUGGUUUAGUUUGGGCUGGUAUUUACAACCCCCCCCCCCCACCCGUUGCCCCUGCCCCCCACCCCCUGCCCCCUGCCCCUGCCCUGCCCCUUGCACCU
rnacentral:lncRNA from 1 species